rnacentral:rRNA from 1 species
GACGGCCAUAAUAGGUUGGAAACACCUGUUCCCAUUCCGAACACAGAAGUUAAGCUUCCUA